CGAGAACGUGGGAUACAGGAACACGUCUGAGGAGUACCGAUUGUACUCCAGCCGUGAUUUGUGUGGUUCGUGAAGUCAAGGCCAACCGGUUAUGAGGCGCGGAAAGGCCAGGCACACGGACCACGCCGGAUAACAGUAAAAGUACCGGUACGCCCACUGAGCUGCUGACCACCAGUGACAACCAACAACACUGCGCAAAGUGUUUCCCUGGGUACCCAUCUACUGACCAGCCCACGAGGGAGGUGCGGGAGCCCUGUGUAAACAAACAGCUGCUCUGCCUGUGGCAGGAUAUUUGAAAUGUCAACUCACUACUUAACCAUGUAUUAGUAAAAUUACUGGCCUGAUUGUGAGUGCGAGUGGUAAUAAGUUGCAUAUGUCAUAACUGGAGGACUACCUGUACAGCUCAUGGAAUGCACACAGGACACCAAUAAGUGGAUGUGUCUGAACAGGGUCUCCCAAGGAGGUAUAAAGGGUGGAGUCAACAACAGUACCUGAAUUGUGAAGCAGACAAACUGUCAUUCUCUUGCCAUAAAGAUGGCAGAUACCUGUCAUGUGUCAGGUUAGACUCAUCAGGUCACACUCUACCUGGGUUUCCAUGGUGUGAAAUGACCAUAGCAGACUCAAUUUUUAGUUCAGGUAUGAGACCUUAGUAUUGCUAAUCAAAGCUGUUGCUGAAACCUGUUUACAGGCGAGGUAUUCCUAUUCCGGAAAAGUUUAGAGAGAAUCACUGCUUUAAAAGCUGUUAAAAGUAGGAAUACUAUGAAUAUCUUAGUGCUGUUUGGUGGUAGAUCAACAUGUAAGUAAAGGAGCUUGCAAAAUUUCGGAGUUGAUUUCUGUUUCUAUUUAGUAUGUACAAAAUAUAUCUACUGCAUAUUAGGUGUAUGGUACUUAAAAAAAAAGACAUGGCCUAGAGGCAGAAACUAAGGUGGUGGGCGUGAGUUCUCAUCCAGGUAUCCGACAGGUGAGCAAAAUGACAGUUUGGCGGCUUCACCUCACUCCCUGGGAUUAGCAGGCCAUGUCGACUCCACCCUUUAUACCUCCAUGGGGUCUCCAACAGACAGCACAUUGCCAACUCAAGCCUAUAUGACUUUCCUGUAUUUCACCAUGGGAUGCUGCCAUGCUAAGAUUUAUUUCAUAUUUUUAAUGUGCCAACUUAUGUGUAAUUACAACUUAAGAGGUUUUACCGUACUUGAAAGUAGAAAUUUUUGUAGUAAAACUGCUUA